CUGGAAUCGAUGCCGGGUGGAGGAUGGACAAGCGGAUCUGCUGAAUUGCUCAUCUCCUUCCGCCGAAAAAGAAUAGCAGAUACAGAUUCUUGCUAAUCAGCGGACGCACACUAGUAUUACCAAACUCAAAUCCCCUUCUUCUCUGCGAAUUUUGUUUGUGCUGAAAUCACUAGUAGCAGACGAGAGUAAGCAUGAUUUUUAGAUCUGGCAAUGGAGUGCUUGCGUGCAAGGAGAAGACUCCACAGGUAGGUGAUGGUCGAGUAAAUUAAUUACCUCCAGACAACUGUUCUGUACC
rnacentral:rRNA from 1 species